UCAGGGUUGGAGUUAGUCUAAAGGUUCACCCUUCCUAUUUAUCGACGCUCCUACACUAUUUCACUCACGAUCUUUCCCUUUUUUCCAAUUUUUUUUCUUCUUUCGUACGCCCGAGAGCCCUAACUUUCGUCAGUCUUCAUUCUCCCCUCGCCUCCGUUCGUGCCGCUGUUAUUGAGUUUUUCAUUUCGUCGUCUGCUCAACCACGCCAGCCCUCUUCCUCGUCGUCUGCUCAGCUCCCUCGCUGUCUGUUCAGCCGCACCAGCCGGCCAGCUGUGCACGUCGUUCAUGAGUCGUCAGUCCCGCCCAGAUUUGUAGCCAAACGCCCCCAACUGCUUCCGUCACUUCAGCCGUGCCCAGAUCUGUAGCUGAACGCUUCCGUCACUUCUGUCGUUUCAGCUCUGCCUAGAUCUGUAGCCGAAUGCCCCUAACCGCUUCCGUCGCUUCAAUCAAGUUGGUCCAGCCAAAUUCGUUUGUUGUCGUCGAGGUCGUCCACGUCUUCGUUGAGGUCUAGCUUUGUAACAGAUCUGUUCAAGUGUGGGCUUCACUCUAUCUCGUCAGAUCUAUACUCCAUCUCGCUGGAAUCUUGUAUUUUUUGGUAAGGUUUUGAUUCGGAGAACAUUAAUGUGCUGUCCAACAGGUUGAUAUUGAUUUCGAUUGAAGUGUUGGAAGGAGUUGAGUUGCUGUCCAAUAGGUUUGAGACCGAUCUUGGCAAGGUUUUGGUAAGUUUAGAGGUUGACUUGCUUAAACAUGGUUUGUCUGACCUUUAGUUCUCGAUCUUUAGACUUCAAAGCUCAAUGUAUAGAUUAAAUAAUGUACUUUGUUGAGAGGUUAUUUAUUAAACAAUUUGUCACUUAUGUGUUUAUUGAAAGU